rnacentral:rRNA from 1 species
GCAGGCUGCAACUCGCCUGCAUGAAGUUGGAAUUGCUGUAAUCGCGAAUCAGAAUGUCGCGGUGAAUACGUUCCCGGGCCUUGUACACACCGCCCGUCACACCAUGAGAGUCGAUAACACCCGAAGCCUGUGAGCUAACCGUAAGGAGGCAGCAGUCGAAGGUGGGGUUGAUGAUUGGGGUGAAGUCGUAACAAGGUACC